UCGAACAUCACCUACUCGGAGCCAGAAACUGUUCAAAGCCUGACGACGAUGAGCUCGGAUCCCAUUUUGCAGAUGAGUUGCCGGAAGUUCAGAGGGGUCCUCGUGCAAAGUGUCUUACAGGUAACGAGCGGGAGAAGGAAGAGUCAGACUUAAACAGGCCCCUGUUUACAGGAUUACAGGAGCACCAGGCCCCUGCUCUGAAGCCACUAGGCUGUGUGACCUCCCUAAGAGACUGAAGGCUCAUGUGAAGUGGACACGUUGGUGCACGUUCACACCAAGUGUCCGCGUGCCGCAGAGUGCUGAAAUUAUUCACCGCGUUCUCAGUGAGGCUUGGAAACUCGUUCAGAGUCAGCAAGUGGAGCGAGUGUUCUAGAAAUGCACCUGGAAGACAAAUUCUCAUCAAUUAGUUACUAACUGCCGUCUGGAUGCAGAAGGUGUGAUCCUGAAAUGUGGAGACAUCGCUGUUUCUUGUACAUCCAGUGAGUGCUGGGGAAACAAAGAUGCAUAAAAUAACAUCCUCAUUCUUGAGGAAGACUCCCACCGGCUAUGGGGGAAGCCAGGCUCAUCAACCAUCAUGGUACAACCUGUAAGGGAGCCCA